rnacentral:snRNA from 1 species
UGAUGCACCUUGAAGUCUGGGAAUCACUGUAUAAAUCAUCGCUCCUGGGCUUACCCACUGAACUCCAGGUGUGCUGACGCCUGCAGUUUGCCCAAAUGUGGGAAACCCGACUGCAUAAUUUGUGGUAGUGGGGGGGCUGCAUUCAUGCUCUCCACUG